CCUACGGGAGGCAGCAGUGAGGAAUAUUGGUCAAUGGUCGGGAGACUGAACCAGCCAAGCCGCGUGAGGGAUGAAGGUACAGAGUAUCGUAAACCUCUUUUGUCAGGGAACAAAGGCGGGGACGCGUCCCCGGAUGAGUGUACCUGAAGAAAAAGCAUCGGCUAACUCCGUGCCAGCCGCCGCGGUAAUACGGAGGAUGCGAGGGGUAUCCGGAUUUAUUGGGUUUAAAGGGUGCGCAGGCGGUCUGUUAAGUCAGCGGUCAAAGCCCGGGGCUCAACCCCGGCCCGCCGUUGAAACUGGCAGUCUCGAGUUGGAGAGAAGUAUGCGGAAUGCGCGGUGUAGCGGUGAAAUGCAUAGAUAUCACGCAGAACUCCGAUUGCGAAGGCAGCAUACCGGCGCCCAACUGACGCUGAAGCACGAAAGCGUGGGUAUCGAACAGGAUUAGAUACCCCUGUAGUC
rnacentral:rRNA from 1 species